ensembl:lncRNA
GAGACGUUAACAUAAAAGGUUCAGUUGGUGAUGCAUGAAAGAAAAUAAUUUUCUUCUAAAAAUCUAUUGGAGAAUUCUGAUUGUAAGAAAUGAAAAAUAUUCAAAGAGUGAAACUGUUUCACACAGUAGAAAUUUGUAUUCAUCGUUUAUAUUGGGGUUUUUUCUGAUUUUAGUGUUUAUUUGUGAGUGUAGUUUUUAUUUGCAUGAUUUUAUUCUGUUUGUAUCACAUUGUUUCAGUGUGUUAUUUUACAUUGUUUUAAUCCACUGUGGAUUGGCUGGCAAUGGGACAAAUUAGCUGAUAGAGAUCACAUGUUGAGGCAUGGGUGUGUCCAUAGGUGUCCUUUCAGCUUUUUAAAAGUCGUAUUAAAAGGAAGCAAGCUGAGCACUGGAAGGAGACAGGCCCUAGAUUGGAAGAGGAACGCAUGAAGGCCAGGUGGAAAAGAGGGCGCGAUGCGUGAUCGUGGGGGGUGCGAUGCCUCGUCUGGAGACCGGUCAGCGUGAUGUGGUGACCCAGUCCCGACAGCAGGAACGGCGACAGUAGGAGACAACGCAUGUGAUUGACAUCAGGGCAGAUGUACACCACUGCCUGCAUUUGUCAGUAGUGUCUCAUUGUUGUUCACUGGGUGCAGCCAUGUUGGGAGAGGGUCGCCAUGGCUAUAAGCCAGGGCCUCGCAAACGGAGGGCGCCCUUACUCCCAGCAAAUGGGUGAUAGAAAACCGAUCGGUGCCUGUACCAUUCCCAAUAUGCGCUGGCUGACGUCGGGGCAGCAUGAGUACGAGCAAUUUUUUUUUUUUUUUCUCGCCGAUGCCCAUGAUGCCGCCCCCCACCAAGAUGCCGCCCCGGGCAACCGCCCGUGUCGCCCGUUUAAAGAACCGCUACUGGCCGCGGUGGUAUCGAGCGACGGACUCCAAUGCAGAAUGCGAACUGGGCUGGGAUGUGAUGGGCCCAGUGGUGGGAUUUUUGUGCAUGAAGAGAAUUGUAUUUUUUGCCAGUUUUAGAAUAAUCUUAUCCAGUCUCAGUGGGAAUUUUAGCAUAUCGAGAAUAUUUCAUUAUAUACUUUUUUUCUUAGUAUCUGGUUUGUUCUAUUCCUGCUGUCCACCUCGUGGAAUAAAAAUGAAUGAAACAAUACUUUCCUGUCAAAAACAAUAUUUUAGUCAGGGCUAGCGGAAAGUUUCA